UACAUACUCCCUCCGUCCGGAAAUACUUGUCGAAGAAAUGGAUGUAUCUAGACGCAUUUUAGUUCUAGAUACAUCCAUUUUUAUCCAUUUCUUCGACAUGUAUUUUCGGACGGAGGGAGUAUAUU
rnacentral:pre_miRNA from 1 species